GGAUUGGGAGGGUUCUACGGAACCCGUUUGGUGAAUCUAGUGCCGAGAAAAGCCUUCUAUGUGUUGAAUUUCUAGUACCCGUACCCCAAACCGACACAGGUGGGUGGGUAGAGCAUACCUAGGGGCGCGUGAUAACUCUCUCUAAGGAACUCGGCAAAAUGGCCCUGUAACUUCGGGAUAAGGGGUGCCUGCGUGAGCAGGCCGCAGUGAAAUGGCUCUGGCGACUGUUUACCAAAAACACAGGUCUCUGCUAAGUCGUAAGACGAUGUAUAGGGGCUGACUCCUGCCCAGUGCCGGAAGGUUAAGGAAGUUGGUUAGCGCAAGCGAAGCUGGCGACCGAAGCCCCGGUGAACGGCGGCCGUAACAAUAACGGUCCUAAGGUAGCGAAAUUCCUUGUCGGGUAAGUUCCGACCCGCACGAAAGGAGUAACGAUCAGAGCGCUGUCUCGGAGAGAGACACGGCGAAAUAGGAUUGUCCGUGAAGAUACGGACUACCUGCACCCGGACAGAAAGACCCUAUGAAGCUUUACUGUAACUUGGAAUUGUGUUCGGACUUUGUCUGCGCAGAAUAGGUGGGAGGCUAUGAAACGUUCCUCGCGGGGAACUGGAGCCAUCGUUGAGAUACCACUCUGGCAGAGUCUGGAUUCUAACCUACGGGGACAGUUCCAGGUGGGCAGUUUGACUGGGGCGGUCGCCUCCUAAAAUGUAACGGAGGCGCGCAAAGGUUCCCUCAGGCUGGUUGGAAAUCAGCCAUAGAGUGUAAAAGCAUAAGGGAGCUUGACUGUGAGACCUACAAGUCGAGCAGGGACGAAAGUCGGCUUUAGUGAUCCGACGGCACUGAGUGGAAGGGCCGUCGCUCAACGGAUAAAAGUUACUCUAAGGAUAACAGGCUGAUCUCCCCCAAGAGUUCACAUCGACGGGGAGGUUUGGCACCUCGAUGUCGGCUCGUCGCAACCUGGGGCGGUAGUACGUCCCAAGGGUUGGGCUGUUCGCCCAUUAAAGCGGCACGUGAGCUGGGUUCAGAACGUCGUGAGACAGUUCGGUCCAUAUCCGGUGUAGGCGUAGGAGCAUUGAAAGGAUCUCUCCUUAGUACGAGAGGACCGGGAGGGACGUACCUCUGGUGUACCUGUUAUCGUGCCAACGGUAAACGCAGGGUAGCCAUGUACGGAGUAGAUAACCGCUGAAAGCAUCUAAGUGGGAAGCCCACCUUAAGAUGAGUGCUCCCUUGAGGCCACGGGAAGACGACCCGUUUGAUAGGCGCUAGGUGGAAGUGCAGUAAUGCAUGCAGCCGAGGCGUACUAAUAGGCCGAUGGC
rnacentral:rRNA from 1 species